GUCCUUGUGUUGUUAGUGCUGUGUUCAGGAUUUCCUUACUUUACAUUUGCAUUAAACCGUCUACGAGUCUUUGAUAAGAAGUACGCCCUGAUUGAACAUCAGAAGAACUGGUGUCAGGCUCUUCAGUACUGCAGAAAAUACUACACUGACUUAGUCAACAUCAGUAACAAAAUACAAAACCAAACAGUGAUUAAAGAAGGGAAAAAUACAGGCUUUUGGAUUGGACUCCUGCAUGAUGAUUGGGAGUAGCUGGACGGAGGCUGCUCUACAUUCAGAGAUUGGGAACAGGAAAAUGGUUCAGAUGGAGAUUGUACAAUUCAUCGGAGGUCACAUUUAUUGUAUCCAUAUCAAUGUGACAAUGAAAGAAAUGGACUUUGCUCCAAAGGUUAUGUGAGGAUUCAAGUCAUCGAUGAAAGUUUGACUUGGGAACAGGCGUUUGACUACUGCGAAGCCAACCACGCUGGCCCACUGAGGAUUGAGGAUGAAGAAGAUCAGAUGGCUGUCAUGCAAUGGUUAAACUACACUAAAGUUGAUGGUCCAUUCUGGAUCGGUCUGAGGCAGAGUCGAGCCUUUGGAUUCUGGUUGUGGAGUAACAUGACAGCGUACUACAGCCAGUGGAAGGACGGCAAACAGCUUGAGCCACCCUUGUCUAACCACUGUGGUGCCAUCUACAAGAACGGCAGUUAAAGUGAUGAAAACUACUUACAACAGCUACCUUUUUUUUGUGAGGAGGAGAUUUUCUUCAUGGAGAAAUAGUUAAUAGUUUUAAGGCUUUGUUGAUAUAACAUAGAUUGUAUUGUAGUGUGGAUUUAAUUUGGGGUUGAUACCAUAUCAUGAAUUCAGCAAUGUGAGAUUUCACUUUACCACUCUGUUUCUUCAUGUAUGCUGUUCUCAAAUUCAGCUAGUGCAAAAUUGUCUGAAAUGUAUUUUUACAUUAAUUUAUAGAUUGAUAAAUUUGUCAGCAUGUAUAUACCGUAUGUAUUAUUACAUAUAUGCAAUUAUAUAGGGAAAUUCAGUAAUAUCAAGAGUCAAAAGUCAAUCAUAUGUUUGUAGUUAAGCUGACCUUGGUGACCUGUAAAUAAUGAUGAUGAUUUUUAUAUACAAAAGUGGAAACAUAUGAUGGAAAUUAACUCAUUUAUUUUGUGAUGACAAUUUUGUAAUGAGACUGUUUUCCUACUGUUGACUUUUGUGAAAUAACUCACUCAGUCCCAGUGUGUUACGUCAAGUGCUACCACUAAUAUUUCUAAAUUAUUGAAGGUAAACAUAUUUUUGAGAUCUAUUUGUGGCUCUUCUUUCACCAGUAAUAGUUAAAAUACCAUUUCUACUUUUCUAUUUACAUUUAUAACUUAAACUAAACUCAAAAUAUGUUAUAUUCAAGAAUAUUUGUUUUUUUUCAGUCUUUGUUAUGUGGACAGUGCUUCAAUAUCGGAUGACUGACAUUUUCAUCUCUAUAAUUAAAAUCCAUAAGUUAUAGUUAUUGUAUUAUACUGUUUAUGUAUCAUUAAGAGAAAUCAUUGUAGCGUAUUUUGUAGGACAUCCCAUACCUAGAGGAUCUGAAUGUUUGCUGUAUGGUUUAUAUUAAAUUUCUUUGUGACCACAACACUUUCAUGUGAGAUUUGUUUAGUGUUAAAAUUAAAUUUCUGGAUGAAUGCACCUCGACAUAAUUUGCAAUCAAAGAAAAUAUAUAUUGUGGGAAUCUUGUCAUGAGCUAAUUAAUGCUACAUAAUGCAUAAACAAAUGAAUCUCCCUGUCUCAAAUACACAACACAUCACUGCCAAAUAAUAACCUUUCAGUGUAUUCAUUAUCACAAGAUACUAUUAUUGAUAUUUCUUAGAUUUUGCAUUACAAUAUGUUAAUUGCAGCUUCUGUAGCAUUUUAUAGCUAUGAUUAUCAAGGACUGAUAAACAGUUUAACACCUUCUAGGCCUGUGUAAGUAUGUUUUCAUUUUUAUUUUUCACCUCACUCCACAUUUUCUAAAUUUGCAUUUAUUAAGGUAAGCGUCUCUUUCUUUGCCAUCAGAUCUCUAUCACAGCCUCUUGCUAUGUCCAUCUGGUAUCUGUGGAUGUUGUGUUUGCAUUCCAGUGUCAUUGGAUAAUAAAGGUAAAUUGUUUGCAAGGCCAAAAUUCUAAAUCAUAAGUGGU